rnacentral:rRNA from 1 species
AGUGUCGGACGUGUGCGUAAUGUCUGGGAAACUGCCCUAUGUAUGGGGAUAACUACUGGAAACGUUAGCUAAUACCGCAUACCAUCGUAUGUUCCCAGAUGGGAUUAGCUAGUCGGUGGGUUAAUGGCUCACCUAGGCGACGAUCCCUAGCUGGUCUGAGAGGAGUACCAGCCACACUGGAACUGAGAAACGGUAAAGACUCCUACGGGAGGAAGCAGGGGGGAAUAUUGCAAAAUGGGCGAAAGCCUGAUGCAUCCAGGCCGCGUGUAUGAAGAAGGCCUUCGUGUUGGAAAGUACUUUCAGCGGGGAGGAGUUACCCGAAGAAGAAGCACAGGCUAACGCCGGGCCAGCAGCCGAGGUAAUUC